GCGGUAGCACAGAGAGCUUGCUCUCGGGUGACGAGCGGCGGACGGGUGAGUAAUGUCUGGGAAACUGCCUGAUGGAGGGGGAUAACUACUGGAAACGGUAGCUAAUACCGCAUAACGUCGCAAGACCAAAGUGGGGGACCUUCGGGCCUCAUGCCAUCAGAUGUGCCCAGAUGGGAUUAGCUAGUAGGUGGGGUAACGGCUCACCUAGGCGACGAUCCCUAGCUGGUCUGAGAGGAUGACCAGCCACACUGGAACUGAGACACGGUCCAGACUCCUACGGGAGGCAGCAGUGGGGAAUAUUGCACAAUGGGCGCAAGCCUGAUGCAGCCAUGCCGCGUGUGUGAAGAAGGCCUUCGGGUUGUAAAGCACUUUCAGCGGGGAGGAAGGCGAUAAGGUUAAUAACCUUGUCGAUUGACGUUACCCGCAGAAGAAGCACCGGCUAAAUUCCGUGCCAGCAGCCGCGGUAAUACGGAGGGUGCAAGCGUUAAUCGGAAUUACUGGGCGUAAAGCGCACGCAGGCGGUCUGUCAAGUCGGAUGUGAAAUCCCCGGGCUCAACCUGGGAACUGCAUUCGAAACUGGCAGGCUAGAGUCUUGUAGAGGGGGGUAGAAUUCCAGGUGUAGCGGUGAAAUGCGUAGAGAUCUGGAGGAAUACCGGUGGCGAAGGCGGCCCCCUGGACAAAGACUGACGCUCAGGUGCGAAAGCGUGGGGAGCAAACAGGAUUAGAUACCCUGGUAGUCCACGCCGUAAACGAUGUCGAUUUGGAGGUUGUGCCCUUGAGGCGUGGCUUCCGGAGCUAACGCGUUAAAUCGACCGCCUGGGGAGUACGGCCGCAAGGUUAAAACUCAAAUGAAUUGACGGGGGCCCGCACAAGCGGUGGAGCAUGUGGUUUAAUUCGAUGCAACGCGAAGAACCUUACCUGGUCUUGACAUCCACAGAACUUAGCAGAGAUGGUUUGGUGCCUUCGGGAACUGUGAGACAGGUGCUGCAUGGCUGUCGUCAGCUCGUGUUGUGAAAUGUUGGGUUAAGUCCCGCAACGAGCGCAACCCUUAUCCUUUGUUGCCAGCGGUUCGGCCGGGAACUCAAAGGAGACUGCCAGUGAUAAACUGGAGGAAGGUGGGGAUGACGUCAAGUCAUCAUGGCCCUUACGACCAGGGCUACACACGUGCUACAAUGGCAUAUACAAAGAGAAGCGACCUCGCGAGAGCAAGCGGACCUCAUAAAGUAUGUCGUAGUCCGGAUUGGAGUCUGCAACUCGACUCCAUGAAGUCGGAAUCGCUAGUAAUCGUAGAUCAGAAUGCUACGGUGAAUACGUUCCCGGGCCUUGUACACACCGCCCGUCACACCAUGGGAG
rnacentral:rRNA from 1 species